CCUACGGGUGGCAGCAGUGGGGAAUAUUGCACAAUGGGAGAAACCCUGAUGCAGCGACGCCGCGUGAGUGAAGAAGUAAUUCGUUAUGUAAAGCUCUAUCAGCAGGGAAGAAAAUGACGGUACCUGAGUAAGAAGCCCCGGCUAACUACGUGCCAGCAGCCGCGGUAAUACGUAGGGGGCAAGCGUUAUCCGGAUUUACUGGGUGUAAAGGGGGCGCAGACGGCAGUGCAAGCCAGAAGUGAAAGCCCGGGGCCCAACCCCGGGACUGCUCUUGGAACUGCGCGGCUGGAGUGCAGGAGGGGCAAGCGGAAUUCCUGGUGUAGCGGUGAAAUGCGUAGAUAUUAGGAGGAACACCAGUGGCGAAGGCGGUCUACUGGACAGCAACUGACGCUGAGGCGCGAAAGCGUGGGGAGCAAACAGGAUUAGAUACCCGGGUAGUC
rnacentral:rRNA from 1 species